rnacentral:rRNA from 1 species
GACGAACGCUGGCGGCGUGCUUAACACAUGCAAGUCGAACGCUGAAGCUUGGUGCUUGCUCUGGGUGGAUGAGUGGCGAACGGGUGAGUAAUACGUGAGUAACCUGCCCUUGACUCUGGGAUAAGCCUGGGAAACUGGGUCUAAUACUGGAUAUGACAUGCCACUGCAUGGUGGUGUGUGGAAAGGGUUUUACUGGUUUUGGAUGGGCUCACGGCCUAUCAGCUUGUUGGUGGGGUAAUGGCCUACCAAGGCGACGACGGGUAGCCGGCCUGAGAGGGUGACCGGCCACACUGGGACUGAGACACGGCCCAGACUCCUACGGGAGGCAGCAGUGGGGAAUAUUGCACAAUGGGCGGAAGCCUGAUGCAGCGACGCCGCGUGAGGGAUGACGGCCUUCGGGUUGUAAACCUCUUUCAGCACGGAAGAAGCGAGAGUGACGGUACGUGCAGAAGAAGCGCCGGCUAACUACGUG